AGAACGAACGCUGGCGGCAUGCCUAAUACAUGCAAGUCGAACGAACACUUCGGUGUUAGUGGCGCACGGGUGCGUAACGCGUGGGAAUCUGCCCUUGGGUUCGGAAUAACAGUUGGAAACGACUGCUAAUACCGGAUGAUAUCGAAAGAUCAAAGAUUUAUCGCCCAGGGAUGAGCCCGCGUAGGAUUAGCUAGUUGGUGAGGUAAAGGCUCACCAAGGCGACGAUCCUUAAGCUGGUCUGAGAGGAUGAUCAGCCACACUGGGACUGAGACACGGCCAGACU
rnacentral:rRNA from 1 species